UGACCAUAAAUUUUGCUUUAGAGAGAAAGAGAAGAGCUACAUCUGUUUCCUCCUCCAUUUGUUAAUGUUUAAUUUGUUUUUCUUUUAAGAAAAAGUGUUGUGAGUUUGGGAGCGAAGAGGGAAUUUGGGUCACGCUUUUGAUACCAUAAGUUUUUCUACGAUUCGAUGUCAAUUGCAUGUUGUCUUUGUGAUUUUUCUUUUAAGUAAAAGUGUUGUGAGUUUGGGAGCGAAGAGGGAAUUUGGGUCACGCUUUUAAUACCUUGCUUCCACUUCUUCCUUGUGUACGUCGAGGAUAAUGGUAGCACAUAUGACGUGUUUCUAAGCUUUAAAUGUGGAAGUACCGGAAAUGAGCAAACGCUCUAGAUCGUUGACAAUGUUCGUAAUACUCAUGUGGACAAAAAGUACCGCUGUAAAUGGUGCGUAGAAAUUAUUUAGAGGGGAAAAGUAUGAUUGUUGAUCAUAAGAAGAAUUGUUCCACAAGAUUGGUAGCGGAUAUGGAGAAGGAGCAUAUCAGAGUUUUCGUAGUAUGAACUGAGUGCAUCUAUUGCAGCGGUCCUCGUGAUCAUCCAGAAGAGGAUAUCAGAUCUAGGUUGUUGAUUGCAUGUUGAUAUAAUUUGCGUUUCUUUAGAACAAGCGCAUGUUUCUGCUGUAUCUCUAUCUGUAUGGUAACUGCACUGAGGAUCAGAAGUUUCUGAUUUCGAGGCUGCUCAAGGGAGUGUGAGGUUUCCGGUGAGGUCGGUGAUGGCGUGAAGGAUGAGUUUGCCGGAGGUGGAGGUGGUGGCGGCGCUGCCGAUGCGGAGGCAUAGAUACUACUGAUGAUAACACAGUCCAUAUUCAAAUUUGGUUCAAUCCUUUGUUUUAUUGUUCGAGAGAUAUUAUUGAUGAUAACACAGUCUAUAUUCAAUCAUCUUAAUUGUAUAUUCAAUUAGAUAUCGAUGAUAUGUUUUCGA